rnacentral:rRNA from 1 species
AUUGAACGCUGGCGGCAGGCUUAACACAUGCAAGUCGAGCGGAGCGAGGGUGCUUGCACCUUAGCUUAGCGGCGGACGGGUGAGUAAUGCUUAGGAAUCUGCCUAUUAGUGGGGGACAACAUUCCGAAAGGGAUGCUAAUACCGCAUAAUAUCACUGGACGGCAUCGCCCGGUGAUCAAAACUCCGGUGGUUAUAGAUGGGCAUGCGUGACAUUAGCUAGUUGGUGAGGUAACGGCUCACCAAGGCUACGAUGUCUAGGGGGUCUGAGAGGAUGUUCCUCCACACUGGUACUGAGACACGGACCAGACUCCUACGGGAGGCAGCAGUAAGGAAUAUUGGACAAUGGGCGCUAGCCGAAUCCAGCCAUGCCGCGUGAAGGAUGACGGCCCUCUGGGUUGUAAACUUCUUUUAUACGGGAAUAAACCCCUCGAUUCUUCGGGGGCUGAAUGUACUGUAAGAAUAAGGAUCGGCUAACUUCGUGCCAGCCGCCGCCGUAACAC